UCCUCUCCUCCUUCUCAAUUCCAAAGCUCAGUUAUGAGCUUUAUAGAUGCUUUGAAGAGAGCAAAGCAGCUCUGAGCUUGGUUUUGGAUUGUUCCCGCAGGACAAUAUUGUCCUAAUAAUAUCAUCAGCACAGGGUGACGUCAGAAGGAAGGAACAGGAGGUUCUCCUCUCUCUUAUUCAAACAGGUCUAAAUCACAGCGAUAGGGUUAUUAUUAUUUUUUUUUUUUUGGCAAAGAUUUUUUAGUUGAAACAAAAAAAAAAAAGGGAAUUCAGCUCUCCAGAAAUGCCCUGCAGAUUUGUGUCAGCUUUUGUUGAGCUGCCAGUAAUAAAAGGAAGAGAAAAGAAAAGAAAAAGCACGAGCAUAUAGGAAAGAGGCUGUAGGAAAUGCAUUCAAAAAAGUCUGAAGUUUUCACCUUGGGUUAAAAAAAAGAAAGAGAAAAAAAUAAUUAGCUUAAGAUCUAUUAAAUGUUUUCAAUGUUGCCUCGAUUUUACCUUUUACGAGCGUUUAAAAUCUCUCAAAGUUAAAAAAGAAAAAAAAAGAAAAGUAAUAAAAAAUGGCUUUGUUCCCAGCAGAAACAAAUGCUUUCUUCAGCAAGAUCCUUCCUCCUUAAUUGAUUGAUUCACUUCAAAUUUUAAAAUAAUUGCAUUUCUGGUUGGCUUAAACCUGAACUUGCAGUGAACUAAGCGAGUCACUGAGCUGCUUUAUGAGCUUAAUUAGCUAAUGAAGUGCUUGUUAUCAGCGCCAAAGAUUUCUUUGACGCAAAUUACUAACACCUAGAAAUGUAAAUAACCCCCCAAAAUGAGUUCUGAGAAAAUCACAUUGGCUAAUUUAUUUUAAGCACAACUAAUGGCUUAUAUUGCUUGGCCGGUUAGUAUCGAUUUAUUUUAAGCAGUAAUUAACCACUGUGUGAGUAAGAAAUAUAUUAUCUUUCCCCUGUAAGAAUAUGUAGUCAUAAAGAGGAAUCGAUACUGAUCCAACUAAACCCCACUGUACCGAUAAAUUGCCACUGUUUGCGUGUAUUAUUUAUGCUGUUUCUUGGGUGUCCAAGUACAUAAUAUACAAGCGCAUUUUUAAUUAAAAAGUGAUAAGAUAUCCAGUUAAUUUAUGGGCAGCCGUGAGCCAGUCUGUGAGAGCCUGGUGGGGCGGAAUGGCCGGCUGCUCACAGCUCUCCAGCCCAGCUGUGUGUGCCUCUCCCACGUGACGUGAACACAAAUGGAUCCUUGCUCACUCCCCAAUCACCUGCUGCCACCCAAAAAUGUGCUCCUGGGGCAGGGAGUUGGCCUGGACCUGGUGCAAUGCCCAUGGCUUUAAUGAGGACCAACACCUCCAGGUGAUGCUCAGUGCAGCAUCUCCACUCACCCCUGCAACUCCAUAUAGUCUACUGGGCAACACAGUAUAGCCUAAAAAAGCCUGUACAGUCUAGUGGGCCAGCACCUUGUUGUAGAAUCGUAGAAUCAUUGAGGUUGGAAAAGACCUCUGGGAUCACCAAGUCCAACCCCAACCCACCCCACCAUGCCCACUGACCACAUCCCUCAGUGCCACAUCUCCAUGGUUCUGAGCACCUCCAGGGACAGUGACUCCACCACCUCCCUGAGCAGCCCGUUCCAAAAUAUAUAUCCUUCAAGAGCCCAUAGAACCUAGUAGGCAAGCUCCAUAUACCCUAAAACAGGCUGUCUAAUGACCCAAGCUGUAUAACACUGUCUCAAUCCCUGUUGCCUAUCAACAAGUGUUCUGAAGCACCCAUGUAGGAGCCAUCACCUCUGCUGCUGCUGGGGAGCUCCCCUCUCCUAACAAGAUUUCCCAAGCAAAUCCUCCUUGCCUCCAGCGCUGUUAUUUAUUUUCUUUUUCUUUUUCUUUAGAUAUGGAAUUUGGCUGUUUGAAUCAGAUGGCAUCAGAUGGCUUAAGGUCGUUUUUAUUAUGAUGAUGAUUAUUUUUUUAAGCACGUUAUUUAUUUAUGAUGUUUUUGCUGUGUAUUUUAGCAGGGCGAGGUUUUGCCUGAGGGUCGAGCAUGCAUAGGCUCUAUGCAAUAGCCUUCUACCAGGCAGACACGAUAAGCAGAUGAGCACAAGAGCAAACUCUUGCCACUUAUUUCCCUCUUGAUAUUUUAGUGUUAUGGGAUUAAAGUGUUCAUGGUGGAAUUUUUUUUGUUACUUUCUUCUAUUCCUAGAGCGAACAGGGAUGCACAGUGUUCCUUAAUCUCACAAUGUGUCCCCCAUAACUUACUUUCUACCUACGUCCUCUUGCAAUGUCUACUCACAAGUCCCAGUUCCUGGAACCUCGUGAUUAUUCAGCAAUUUAAGAACUUUUCUUCUUCAACAACAACAAAAUGCUUCUCUUCCUUGUGACUGGAGGGAGCUGCUGGUAUGAAACUCAUCUGUGAAAACAACUAACAUGCAACGUUCUGAAACGCUGUGGUUUUUCCAAAUCCAGUCUUAUGAUUUUUCGUGUUGGCUGAGGAGAGGGGAAAUCUGCCUCGUGAUUUUUGGUUCUUGUUAGCAUUGCUGUCAUGGUUGUUAUGUGUGGGAAUGCGGCUGGUGAAGCUGCACAGCUCAUUUCCCUCUCUCUCCCGAGAUACUGCCUUGGACAGCUUGGAAAUCCCUCAAGAUGAAGCUGUUAUUUUGAGUGUUUUUAUCAGGCUGGAGUUUGGGUCUGCCUGGGAACAUUACUGCUGUAGGGCUGGAAACACCAAGGUCCCCAGCUCAGGUGGGAUGCAGACACACACAUGGCCAAGGCCUUCGUUUGUCCAAAUGACCAAUUACUUAUCAGGCCAGUUCUGCAGCUCUAAUGCAAAGUAUCAGUACAGCAUUGCCUUUCCCUGCAGGACUUUUCAUAAUGAGGAAGGUGAGACUUUGGAAUGAACUGCCCAGGGAAGUUGUGCAUCCCUGUCAUUGGAAAUGUUCAUAGUUGGGCUGGAUGGGACAUCGGGCAACCUGGUCAAGUGGGGGGUGUCCUUGUCCAGGACGAUGGGUUGGAAUGAGGUGGGCUGUGAGGUCUCUUCCAGACCAAACCAUUCUAUGGUUCUGGCACAUGCAGGUGUAUUGAGACAUGGAUCAGGGAGGACACCUCUGUUAGACUCAAGCUUUUGCUUGACCUUUGAACUUCAGGGACAAUCAAAUGAUGUAUCCUAGAAGUGUCAAAGUAUAUCUAAUUAAUACUCUUAUUUUCAUCUACGGGAUUAAUGUUGAUAUCACCUUGCCCAGCAAGGUUGUGGAUGUCUCCUCCCUGGAAGCAUUCAAGGGCAGGCUGGAUGGGGCUCUGAGCAACGUGGUCUAGAGGGAGGUGUCCUUGCCUAUAGCAGGGGGUUGGAACUGGAUGAUCUUACAGGUCCCUUCACCAUUCUAUGAUUCUAUGAUCAUGGGUAAUUAUAGGUAACAUUAAUAAUAUUAUGCCAUGCUAUUAUGCAUGCAUAAAUAGGGUGAGGUAAUUUUACACUUAACCAGAAAUGCAAUGGGAAAAAAAAAAUGUGGCAGUGAUCUAAUGGUUGUGAACAGAAUAUCUAGAACUAUAUUCAGAAACUGACAUUGCUGUGAGGAACAAAUAUCAAACACCAUGAUGUUUCUCUUGAAUAAAGCAAUAAAGGAUCGCAGCAGCAGAAAUUUGUGCAAGUUAACUUGGGAAGUAUGGGGUGAGACAGUCCCACUGUGUCUUCUCUGUUUACCAGCCCUGAUGGCCUGAGACCUUCAGUUGGGAAAACCCUGCCUGGUGAGCGCGGGGAGAAAGGGUGAACUCAUGGGGAUGCCGUGAGCCCUGAGGUCUGGGAUCAAAGGACCAAGCCCUUCCCCAGCAAGAGACUUCACAGACAAAGCAGAGUGGUAGCACAAGUUUGGGAAAUCACUUGGGUGUCAAUGGGGCUGAUUUGCACAGAAUUAAAUUUGUUUCAAUUUUUUUUUUUAAUUGAAACAAGAAAAUAGAAAAAUAUUACCAAUGAGCUUUGAUGACGUUUGGGACUAAACCUAAGCAAAGCCUAACAACAUCCUCCUUUGAAGACGCAGAAGACAUAGGACACGAAUCCCAGUUGGAAAAGACCACGAAGGGUUAAUAGACCUCAUUUACAAUGAGAAACUGAAGGAAAAUGGGAGUACUCAGCAGCUGUGCAGACCAAGCAGGGUCAGCGGUGGAGAUUUUGGGUCAAAGCUGUAAGCACUGAGCUUUGGAGAAAUGAAAUAAAAAGAGAAGUAAAAUCUGGGGAAGUGCUUUUAUCACAAACUCUUGUCCUCAGAAAGCUAUGGCAAUAACAAAUGCGUCCUCCAGCACAUAAAGAAGAAAUAAAGGUUAAAACUGUGUGGAUCGUGUAGCUGUUUUUCUUGUUGUUGGUGGUGGUGUUUUUUUCUUUUUUUAACCUUUUACUUUAAUUGCCAGUUGUGAUGGCAGAGAAAAAAUAUGUAAAAAGCAAGAAUAGCUAAAAAUAGGUCAGAUAAAAGGCAGCAUAUCUAGCCAUAAAUUAUCCAGAGCCCAAUAAAAGCUCAGUGAAUGAGACAGUGGAAUGUGUGGGGGCAUGAAGACAUAAUGAUAUUAAAUUAGAGCUUGCCUUCAAAACUGGAGAGGGUUGUGAAUUACUCUCAUUUAAGAGCCUUGCAGUAAUCGAUAGCGGCUUUCGCUGCCUGUGGACAAAAUCUCAUAAAUUCCCUUUUAUUGCAGGUGUCUGUGCAAGAAGGACGUGUGUGAUGGGGGCUUCGAGGAAGGGGAGUGGUAUGGAUGAAGUGUCCAUGAUCGGGCUGUGCUCCUCCUGCCCCCACUCCCAGGGUGCUCAAUGCUCGCUGUGCUAAUUGCUGUGCCUUUGCACUUAGGAGAUGUGCAGCUCGGCGCUGGAAACAGUUACCCGUCGAGUUCAAGCAGCUGUACUCAUGUGUCACCAGGCAAUGAAACGCCAGCCCCGAGCUGUCAGCUCCACCAUUGAAAUUAAUGGGCCAGACUGUUUACAUUACUGGAAAUCAUCCCAUUUAAAUAUAUAUGUUAUGCUGAAUACGUAACGCAACUGCGAAUUGGCAGUGUGGAGAGAAGGGGAUCAGGUCUGGAGAAGGGAAGUUGGAGGGGGGACAUGACAGGGUGUAAAAGGAGAAAAUCCGGGAGAUUUCCCUCAGGGGAAAGAUAUUAAUUUGAUGAAAGAAGUGUAAGGAAAGACAAAAGUUGAUCAGAUAGCAUUGGAAUGGGAGAGAUAAAGGGGACAAUCAUUAUACGUGUGGAUAAAGGGAUGGAUAGAUAUAUGAGCUCAGUUCAGGAAUAAACUCAGAGUGGGAUCGUAUCAGUGUCCCAAGCACCAGAGGUCACCGGGAUCAAAUAUCUCCAAGGGUCACAGAGCCUUUCAGUGGUAAUGGAGAACUUCAAAACAGAGGAAAACACACAGACUAGGAAGGGAAUCUUUUUCUUUGUUAGUAUUCAGGAAGAGCAGCCUUUUUCUGCAGCAUUUUGAGAGAGAAAAUAAUCAAGAACAUGCUGCUGGAAGAACUGGGAGUGGGCCAGAGAACAUGGGUGUGAGGCAGGGAAUGUUCAGAUGAAGGCAUGGUCUGAGGAGAGGGAUGGAGGCUUCUCAGUUUGAGAUGGAAGAGAGGAGGAGCAGUGAACUGCAGCCUGUGCGGAUGGGAAUCCUGUCCUGGGACAAUGUGGUAGCCCAGAUCCCCUCCUCUGGGUUUGCUGUGAUGGGAAUUUCUUGCCUCCACCAAAAGAUGCCUAUUAGUUUCUUCUUGGAAGUAUCUUGUCUGGGCUCUCAGUGGAGGAGUCACAUCCCACAAGGCUCUGAAGAUCCUGUUGUCAUGGCUUUGUAGGAACUCCAAAGUGAUGCUGGGCUGGAGGUUAUCCAAGGUGACGCUGGGAUGUUUGGGACCUCCAAGCAGACACUGGGCCGGAGAUCCAUCUGGGACUGCUCAGACAGGAGAAGAGAAGGCUCAGGGGAGACCUUAUUGCUUUCUACAACCCCCUGAAGGGAGGUUCUGGUGAAGUGAGUGGUCAGCUUCUUCUCCCAGCUAACAGCUAUAAGAUGAGAGGAAAUGACCUCAAGUUGCACCAGGGAGGUACAGGUUACUAGGAAAUCAGGAAAUAUUUCUCUGAAGGAGUGGUCAGGCACUGGAAUGGGCUGCCCAGGGAGGUGAUUGAGUCACCAGCCCUGGAGGUGCUCAAGAAACGUUCAGAUAUUGCACUGAGGGACACAAUUUAGUGGAGAAAUAUUGGUGGUAGGUGGAUGGUUGGACUGGGUGAUCUUGAAGAUCUUUUCCAACCUUGGUGAUUCUAUGAUUCUAUGAUCCUCCAUGACGACAGUGGUGUGGGGCUACUUCCAAGGUGACACUGGGUUGGAAGUCCUCCAAGCUGACACUGAGCAGUUUAUGAUCUCCAAGGCUCAGGAACCACUCAAGGCUUGGCAGAAACGUGAGUUACUCCACCAAAAGGAGAGCCCUGAAUUUGAUCCAUCAACUACAGCCAAGAACCCUUCCUUCAGAUCUGAUAAAGUCGUCAUUUUGAUGAAAAGAAGUGGAAAGAGGGGUGGAGAUCUCACCCUGAGAACAGAAUCACCAGCUUUCUAACACGAGGUUGAAACCACAGAUAACUCAGAAUUUGUUAAUGACUGCUUAUAAGGGAAAUGACUGUAGCAUUCACUUGUAGCAUUCAACUCCUUGUUUUGUUCUUUCUUUCUUUUAUUUUUUUCCUGGGAGUUGUCAUGUUCACCUGCAUUGCUAUACGGGAGCAAGAAGAAAUGAUUCAGAAGUUAAACACUGCUGUGAAGAGACCAUCAGCCUCACCAGCAUGUGCAAGCUCACAACUCCAGGCACGUGUAAAUGCAUUUAUGCUUUGCAGGAGUUUGUCUGUGCUCCAGGGUGCUGCAAGAAGCAGCCCUGCAAAGGGAGGGUGUGAUGUGAGCAGAUCUCAGCAUUCAAUUGUCAAAUAUUAAUGGGCCAGGAAUGCUGCAGCUGUAAAAUAUGGAAAGAAAAUCAUUCUGUUUUGCAGAAGGACCUUGCCGAGGAUGACUCCACCAGCACAAUCCACCAAUCUAUCACCUCCCAGAAUCCCACAUGAGAAGGUGGGAUAAUUACUAUAAUUUUAAUGUACUCCAAGAUGAUUUAAAUACACUUGGUAACCUAAAAAUAUCCUGCUUUUCCGUGAAAGCUCUGACUUUCUGAGGUAAUGCUGCCCCAGAGCUGCUGAUGGUUCACAUGCCAGCCCCUUCUAUUGCCCCUCUGGGCUCCAUAAACCAUGUCACGGCUGUUUCCCCUUGGCCUCGUGGAAAGUCUUCCUUCUGCAUUUUGCACAUAUCUCUUUUGGAAAAAAAAAGAAAAUACACAUAUGUAUGUAUUUCUCUUGUAGCCUGGAGAUCAGACAGGGAACUACAAAUCCCAUGGCUGUGCUGGAGCCCCAGGAGGACAGAGGAUGGAGAAGAGGACAUUAGAGACAGGGUGGGGACCAGGGAGCCUGGGCCAGAUGAAUGCUUCAGUAUGCUUGGAAGUGUCGGUGAAGCAAAUGGAGUGUUUCUAACACAGUCCUGAGCAUUGAAAAAUAGUGCUUAAAUUGCCUCCAGAACCAACGUGAAAUCUGAAGAUUUGGGAAUAUCUCUUGUGACUGAUUGAGUGACUGAUUGAUUUGCUGAUAUGUGUGCUGUACGUGUGCGUUAGGGCUUGAUUCAGCUGUCCAAACACGGUUUCCUUGAGCCAAGCUGGAUGCUAGAGGCUCCUAGACUCCAGCUCUUGCUUCUGAAUAGCACUCAUCUGCCCUCGAAUGUGUCACUUUGUCAGCCCCGUGGGAUGCCUCAGAUGCACAAGGGCAUCUUGGAUGGCACCAGGCUCUGUGCGUGGGCAGCCGAAUCCCACCCUCUGAGUCAGAAAGAUUGCAUUCUCAAGGUUUUCUCUACAGUCGCUGGGAUCAGAACUUUACCUUCAAAAUAAAUAACAUCCGAAGCCAA